rnacentral:lncRNA from 1 species
GACGAAGAUUCCUACCCUUUAGACCCAGCUCCGUUUACAUUGGAGAAAAACAAAAGAAUCGAACCCUUUCAUCUUCUUAAAAAUGCACAACCCCCUCCAUAGGGCUUCUUCUUCAUCUUGAUUUUCUCAAAACAAGCACACACAGAACUAAAAGGAGACCACCACCACCCAGCGAGAAUCUUCUUCUUGGACUAACCCUAGCAACCUAACACACACACACGGAAAACCUCUCUAAAAUUCAGACUCAUUUUCUUCAUUUUUGAGACAGAUUUUGGCAUUGAAGAAAACACUCAAAAAAACUUCCAUCAAACUGAGUUUUAUUGGGGUUGUUUCGAUCUGUUUUGCCGCUGCUCUCGUUUGGCUAUAAAUCUAGGAUCACUAUUCGGUAUUCUCUGUUUGUUGUCUCUGCAUUUGUAGCUGUGCUUGUUUUCUUUGGAUUCUAGACCUUUAUUUGGUCAUUUCUUUUGUUUCUUUGCUUGAGGUAUGUAAAUCCUAAGCUUAUUCUCUUAUUUUGAAUCACGGAUGAAAUUUUUGUUGAAUAUAUGCUGGUUCUCACACUGACUAAGUGUUGUUUUGCCAAAGUUUAAGUUAUGUUGCUCUUCUCUUGUUCUUGAUCGAUGUUUUGAUGUUGAAUGUGUUUUUCUCUGCUGAGAUUUCGAGUUGGCUGAUAGGCUAUUGAUGUAUUUGAAUGAUUUAGAAAAUUUGUUUGUUGUUUUUCAUGAAUCUAUGAGGGCUGUUUGAAUUUCAUUUAGAUCUGCUUGUACUGGAGAUUUUGCUUGGCAGAUUUUGAACACUAUUGAACCCAUGUGAGUCAUUCAACUAUUCCCUGUGUUAUUAUACGAGCUGCCAGAUUGUGGAGUUCAUCUUAUAAUAACAUUGAGAUUCAUAAUUAAUUAGUUCUAAUGUUAUAGCCUAUUUUUUUUAUUUCAGUAGUUUCUUUUGGUCUCAAUUUGUAAUUAAGUGAACCUUCCUCCACUGAGUAGUAUAUCUCAAUCCAUGAGUGCACUAUUCAAUUAAUUCAGUUCAUGUUAAUAUUAUAGUUUCAAAUGUAGAAUUAAAUGCAGCGUUUUGAUACAGUAAUUGAUUUUCAUAUCCCGAUGUUUGGAAGUUCGUCUAAAUCGCUGCUAGCUAUUGCCUUUUAAUUUGCUAGUUUUCAAACUUGUUUUGGUAUGUUUAUGGUAAGAAUUUUGUAAAUAUUUAUAAUGUUCUGUCAUUUAAUUGUGAACACUGUGUCGAAUGUAGAGUUAUUACACCUAAUUUUCUAUGGGGUACAACAAGCCUAAGAUUAUAUGAAUCACGAAAAGUUGAGUCUAGGUUUAAUCUCUUUUAAAAUAUAGCUGCUACAUUUUCUACUAAUAAAGCUCCCAAAAUUUCACUUUCAUAGGCCCUAGGUAAUGGAAGUUUACACAUCAGUAUUCCGCAAAUAUUCAUAGAGAUGCUUUUAGACACACACUUAAUCGAUUAUUGUAAUUAUGUACACAUUCGUGUGACAUGAUAAUAAUUUUUUCUGAAAUAAAAUUCAAAGUACGCAUUCGCGUGAGUUUGGCCAAAUAAUUUCUUAAUAUUAAUAAAGCGUGAUUAAUUAUGGACACGUACUCGUGACAUGAUUCUUGACGCACCAAACAAAAUGAGUACACGUACGCAUGACUCCUUUUAAGAUAAUUUCAAAAUUACGAAUAAUCAAGCAACUAAAGGGGUAAAUGCACAUUGGUCUAAAAUAAGUAAUUAGACAAUUUAAUUGAGCCAGGUAUGAUCAAAGUGACCGUGCUAAAACCAUGGAACUUGGGAAUGCCUAAUGUGAGCACGUGAUUUUUGCCCUAAAUAUGAUUAUUCUCAAAAUCCCAAACAAAAUAAUUUUCCUUUAUUUUUUACAAUUUUUGUGCAUUUUGGUAUCAUUUUCUGAUAACUGUUGCAUUCUAUUUGCGCAUGUUAAUUCUAUAAAGUACACAAAUAUGCAUUUUUGCAUUUAGGUUUUAGUAUCAAUUAAGGGUUAAUUGUUUUAAAAAACAAAAACAUGAAAAACACAAAAAUUAGUUCACUUUUGCAUUUUAAUGAUUUUUAUUGUGAAUUUGUCAUGAAAUAGUUUUUGAACAAUUUUAGUAAUUAAUUAGUCUUUUUUUUGAAAUAACUAGGAUUUCAUGUUAGUUUUUACAUUUCCAUAAAAAUUAGAAAAAUUAUAAAAAUUGUAAAAGUGAGAAAAGAAAAAAAAAAGAAAAUAAGAAUAGAAAGUGGGUCUUAUUAAAAGACCCGAAUUUGGGCCAAAUCAGAAGAUUUUUUCAGGCCCAAACGCCUUAAACCAUUGCAAAUCAGCCCCAGCCCAAGUCCCCAACCCGAUCCGUUCCAUCUUCUAAUCGAAACGACAUCAUUUCGUGGGCUCCGAAUCGGGACCGCUGGAUCUCAUCAAUCCAACGGUCCGGAACUAACGAGGUUCUUAAUUUAAAAGGGUCCGAAAACCCACCCCAGACCAUCGUCUUCCUCAUUCCACCCCUCCUCGCAAACCCUAAUCCGUGCCGCCCUUAAAUCCCUCGCUGGCGGUGAACGCAACCUACGUCGUUCACCCCCAGAUUAACACCACAGAUCCUCCUCACUCUCCUCUUUCCAUUGCACCCACUGGUUCCCCUCGAAUAAGGCCGGAACUCGUCGAAUCUUCAAUUGAAGUUUCCGGUCAAAUCGAAGGUUCAUCCAAAUCAGCCCAAAAUCACACCACACAACCCCCGGCCCUCCCUCAACACUAAUCCAUGGUUAUUUUCCUUCAAAUCACUGUGAAACGGCUCGAAUCUUAGAUCUGAGAAUUUCUGGCCAAAACCCCGUCAAAAAUCUGAAAGGAUUCAGACGUUUCUGACUGGCCGGAGUUCCUCGUGCCUCUGUGAGUUUUUUUUACGGUUUCUUUUUACUCGCAUGUUUGAAGUUUCAGUUACAGUUUUGUUCUGUUAAUUUUUCUGUUAAUUUUAUGAUUUAUUUGUAUUAGUUUAGUUAUAUCAAUUGUUGAUUAGUUCUGAGCUGAUAUUUGUUUGAAUAAUUGUGAGUUUAUGGGUUAAGAAUUAGUUUCAAUUCAUUUAAUGUUGUUCAUGUUAGCUUAAGCUUAGUUUGAUUGAGUUAAUAUAAUUGAAUAAAUUGGUUUUAGUCAGUCUGAUUAGUUAGUUCCUGAAUGCUAAUUAAUCAAUUUCAGUUAGUUUUAGAUUGGAUUAGGGUAUUGGUUAUAGCUGUUAAGAAUGAGGGUAGGUUCAGUAACUUUGGGGAACCUUUAGGGGUAGUCUGGGUAUGGAAAAGGGUAGUUCUGAUAGGAAUAGUAAUUUCAAAGCAUGUGGAAGGGCGGUAUGGGUAUUGUAUGGGUAGAAGAAUACCCUAGAGCCUUCUAGAAUGGGGUACAAGUGUAGAUUUUAAUAGUUGUGAUGCAUUUACUUGUUUAGCAAGUUAAGAAUAGAGGGACCAAACUGAAAAUAGGGAGGGGACUGAUUGGAAAAUCAGAAUCUGAUCUAUUCUCUUUGGGGUUGCCUAUAAAAGGGCAUAAAAUGCCUUGGGAAAGGGGGUUCCUCUUCUUCCUUGAGCUCUAAGCUCGAAAAUUCCCACAAAAGGCCCUCCUCUCUGCUUUCAAAUCCAGUUAGUAGUUAAAUUCCAGAAUUCAAAAAUACAAACAUCAAAAAUGAGAAAAUCAAAAACAAUCUUACAGUUUCAGUAUUAGUUCUGGAUUUCAGUUGGGUUUUGGGUUUAGCAGUAUCGCAGAGGUGUUUGGGUUCAGCUGUGAGGAUAGGAGUGCAUUUGAAGUGUGUGUUGAAUUGAUCUGUGAAGUCUGCCUGCAUUUCUGGUUUUUCAAAGCAGUCUGCAUGUAUUUCUGUGGUAUAUAUUGCUGAGUUUGCUGCUGUUGCUGUUCAGAGUAGCUGACUCUUUUCCUUCUUAUAUUUUCAUUUAUCCAGGUACACAAUUAUACCCCUGAUGAAUGUGAGUUUAAAUGGGCAGAAAUGAAUUAUUUGAAGAAUGAAUGUACAUGAACUGAGUUCUGAUUUAGCUAACUUUCAGAUCUAAUUACUCAAUGUUCAAUUCAUGGAUAUUAUUUAAAGUUUUGCUUGCUUUAGUGCUAAAUAGACUAUAUGAACUGUUAUAUUUUAGAAUCAUGUGAGUAUUAUGAAGUGAAUACCAGUACUAGUUGAUUACAUGAUGUAUUGAUAGCAAUGCUGGC